GGUGACUAACUCCAGUUCUUUGGAGGAGAUGAAGUAGCACUCUGGAUUCCGAACUCCUGGGUUCUCUCUUUCUUUUGACCAACUUGGUCUGCGACUUUAGAAAAGCUAUGCCACGUUCUCUGUGCUUCAGUUCUACCUCUUGCUCAAAGAAAGUUGUAAUCAUAACACAUGGGAUUUGAAACUGUGGUCAAGAAUUUUCAGACUAGCUCUCCAAUAAGAGAAACUUCAAAUAUCAAACCCCAGGGCAGCUCGUUUUCAUCAGGGUCUUUUAAAUGACUGACUGAUUCUUGGACCAGUCCACUGAUACAUUCAUUCAACAAAUAUUUAUCGGGCC
rnacentral:lncRNA from 1 species